rnacentral:piRNA from 1 species
UGGGCCUCAGGAACAACCUGCAGUCUGU